AUCUCCCUUGAGUAUCCCAGGUUUUCGUAGAAUAUAAAUAAGCAAUCCAUUUGCUUUAUAAUCAAUAUUCUGAAUUAUAAACCAGAUAUUAAGUAUGAUGCAUAACAAAGUUUUGAUGAUGCUAAUGGCAACUUGAGGAUAAUAUCGUUCGCUCUGGCAUUCUGCAAUGAAUUCGGCAAUUUUUUCGAAGGUUUAUACUAUCCAAGAUGGCCUACUUGAUGGUGCUCUAUUGUGACUUCAGCUAGAUCUAUAAAUCAACUAAAUCUCUAAACUUCUCAACUUUGUUCGAUACUGGAUUUUGUAUUGCACCGUAAAGCUUCGGCAAGUAGAAGACAUUCGAUGCCUGGACGCAGAGGUAGAGGACGCAGGCUGAUUGCGUUUGAUUGAGUAUAAAAGUUGAGAUGCAAGAAUCACGAGUCGAAGUCAACAAAAUGCGAUCUGAACGACAUGAGAUCAAAGAGAAAUUGGUGCGACAGCAAAAGGAACACGAACGACAAAUCAGUAGACAGAGGGAGUCGUCCGCCAAACUGGAACGAACUGUUGAGAGACUAACAAAACAAGUUAUCGAAUACAGACAGUAUCUCGAAAAAAGGGAGGUCAGGUAUUCAGCGCGUCAAAAGUGAAUGCAAGUUGGACUCUCGGGGAAGUCUUCGAGAAGUAACUCUUUACCAUCGCUGCAUAAUAAAAACCAUAAGGGUCCUGUGCAGGAACAUUCGGGACGGUUGAGAUACAACAGGGACGAAAGCGAUGAUACGGAUGUCAUUUUUUUCUAGUUUAUAGACGAGGUAAUAUUUUAAUGCAAGGUGUAUUUGGAAACUCAGUUGUUAAGGCUUGGUUUUAAAGGCUCGUUCAGACAACUAUUUGAAUUUUGGGAAAAAUGACUUUGUCAAUCAGAUGUUGUGCUUAAACAAUGUGUCUGAGUCGAAGUGGAAUAUCUCAUUUCAUUGGUAAAGAUGUCCGUUGCUUCAUAACUAUAAGCCAAGAACCCAUUCUGGUUCUUUGGUGUCUCUGGUCACCUCUGCACCAAACGUGACAUAGUUUGAUAUUACAUAAGAUAGCUGGACUUCAAAUACUAUUUGAGUGGGGCGUGCUUCAGGAUACCUGACAGGUUUGAUAAAGGCCCUUUAACUGAUUGGGAGAGCCAUAAGGGUUCAUGCGGUUGGUUUGGAUCCCAAAGGCUCUAACAGUCUGAAAUACUUUCAAUGGCAACGGCCAUUCUCCCAUCAACAUUUAUCAAGGCAAGUGAUAUGAUAAUUAUUGUUUUUGCACAAUUUUCGAUUGGCUUGGGUAUUUAAAUUCAGGAGAUUCCUGAUAGUUUCAUUACAUACUCUCUGAAUAGAUAAAUAAUGUUUUUUAUUGUGAGAUAUAUUUUCGUUUGAUUUGAAUAUUUUAGAUUUUAUGAUUACCAUAACAAAAUGUAAAUUUAUUUGCAUUGUCUAAGUACUUGUAUCGCGCAACUGUUAGGUUUUAAAUAACAAUUGUCUUUAGGACUUUUUCGUAACUCAGUUUAAACGAAAUUCACGAGACUUGCAUGAUGGCAUUAGCUCCAUGUUAUAAAAAGACCAGUCAUCAAGUUUGUAAGGUUGGUAAGUGGUAAAUAACAUAUGUCUAGAUUAAACUGUUACCAAUUAGAAUCUAGAAGAAACUACUCUAUACGCUCGACGGGUGUCAGCCAACAAGCCUCUCUUCUUUGGUCAUUUGUUUUGCGCCACGUGAUACUUUUCAGCCUCUUAACAGAGGAGCUUGUCCCGGUUGCUAUAGAGAAGUUUAGCGGUGUUUCGAACCCGUUCAUUAAGUUCGCUCACCCUACUGUACGCUCAGACAGUUGUAGUUUAAUCGAGAUUUUAUAAGGCAUACUUUUAGAGAAAA